CUACGUGCCAGCAGCCGCGGUAAUACGGAAGGUCCGGGCGUUAUCCGGAUUUAUUGGGUUUAAAGGGAGCGUAGGCGGAUUGUUAAGUCAGCGGUUAAAGGGUGUGGCUCAACCAUGCAUUGCCGUUGAAACUGGCGAUCUUGAGUGCAGACAGGGAUGCCGGAAUUCGUGGUGUAGCGGUGAAAUGCUUAGAUAUCACGAAGAACUCCGAUCGCGAAGGCAGGUGUCCGGGCUGCAACUGACGCUGAGGCUCGAAAGUGUGGGUAUCAAACAGGAUUAGAUACCCUGGUAGUCCACACAGUAAACGAUGUAUACUCGCGGUUUGCGAUAGACAGUAAGCCGCCAAGCGAAAGCAUUAAGUAUACCACCUGGGGAGUACGCCGGCAACGGUGAAACUCAAAGGAAUUGACGGGGGCCCGCACAAGCGGAGGAACAUGUGGUUUAAUUCGAUGAUACGCGAGGAACCUUACCCGGGCUUGAACUAACGGUGACGAAUCUAGAGAUAG
rnacentral:rRNA from 1 species